rnacentral:pre_miRNA from 1 species
CACAGCUUUCUUGAACUUUCUUGUACUUAUUCUUUUGAUCUCUAUAGAUUGAAUAGGUAGCACCUUGGAAGCUCAAGAAAGCUGUG